UACGUAGGUGGCGAGCGUUGUCCGGAUUUACUGGGCGUAAAGAGCGCGCAGGCGGUCGUGCAAGUCGCGUGUGAAAGCCCCCGGCUCAACUGGGGAGGGUCACGCGAUACUGCUCGACUCGAAGGCAGGAGAGGGAAGUGGAAUUCCCGGUGUAGUGGUGAAAUGCGUAGAUAUCGGAAGGAACACCAGUGGCGAAGGCGGCUAUCUGGACGGUUUCUGACGCUAAGACGCGAAAGCGUGGGGAGCAAACAGG
rnacentral:rRNA from 1 species